GGAGUUGUGGUUUAGUGGUAUAAUUCUUGCUUAGGGAUGGAUCAGUACACCUGCAUUCAACAUUGUUGAAGCUGGAUUGUCGCUGAUUGUUCAUGUAAGAGGUCCCCGGUUCGAUCCCGGGCAACUCCC